ensembl:lncRNA
GGGGGAACAAUUAUCUUGUAGGAUCAUGAUGAAAAUUAAAUGAGAGGAUGGGCACAAAACCCUUGGAAGAGCGUUCAAAUGUUGGUUCUUUUUCCCUGGCUGGGACCUUCUGGUUGGGCAGGUCCCUAUACUCUCUUCUUUCCUAGAUCACACUGAGAAGAGCCUGGAUCAGGAGGAGUGGGAUGACGGGCUGCUUUGGGCGCGCACUCGAAGAGACAUACCUUUCUCCACACUUGCCUUCCUUCCCCUCUUCAGGAUCCUGAGGGAGAAGAGGCCCCACACCCCCUGAGACAGAGACAUGAUUAAGGGACCUCCCUACUCAAAAGAACCUCUUUGACUCCUGGCCUCUGCUUCAGAAUCUCUGACUAUAGCCUAAGCCGUAACUUACCUUCCACACCCUCAAAAUCCUACUGUCAAGAGAGAGUAAGGGAAUAGGGCCCUCGCUCUUUGUCCCUGGGCAAGUUAUUUAGCCUUUGCUGGCCUCAGCUCCUUCAGCAGCAAAAUGCAUAUAACUCCUAUCUCCCAGAAUUAAAUAGGAUAAUAUAGGGAAGGGAGAUCCUUGUAAACUGUAAAGGGUUUCACACAUAUAGUUGGCAUUACCACCAUUGUCGCUAUGUUGUCAUUCUCCAGUCCUGACUAACCCCCCUGUGUAUUUCAGUUCUUCCCCAUUUCUCGAGCUCUUUUUCCAUAUUUACAGACCAUGCGCCCUUGUCUCUUGCUUCUUUCUGACCCACUUCCAUGAGGCAGAAAAGCCCGGCCACUGCUCUGUGUGGUCCUCUUCUCCCUUCCUCUUACUCAGUUUUCAAGUCAGUCAUUAGUGGCCAUCAUUGAUGACAGCUGGCUGGAGCAACUCAUCAAGGUUGUCUUGGAGAGGAUAAAUUAUUUCAGCGAUGGUGAGGAGAAGACCUCAAGGAAUGUGAAACUGGUGAAGAUGUUGCUCUCCUCCAUCCUACAAGCUAUCCACGAAGACCUGCAGGAGAGGGAGGUGAGCACAAGCAAAAUACAGCUGGUGGGGGACUUACUGUCCCAGAGCUUUGGCUUCCUGAAGAGCCCUCAGUCCUUCCUACGGGCAGCUGCCAUCGACUUCACAGAAUUAACAGCUAAGAAGCUAAACAGGAGUCAAAUACAUGAGGAUGAUGUGGAGCUGUUACAGAAUGGUGAGUCCGAGCCUUGUCCCUGAGCUCUGGGUGACACAAGGCAAUGGGGCAAGACAGAAAGCGGGGGGGGGGGGGGGGCUCGACUCCUUA